UCCCUCCUGUGAUGUUCGUGAUGUUUUGGAACUAUUUGAGCCAACACCCAUCAAAAGGGAGCCUAGCUUCAGUUAUGGAUUUCAAGCCCUUUAUUGGGAAGGAAGAAAUGACUGAGCGGGCACCCACCUGGUUUACCAGGUUCAAUAAAGCCAUUACACACGGCAAUUCACGGGAGGGAU
rnacentral:other from 1 species